rnacentral:siRNA from 1 species
ACCCGACCUUAGGAACGCCUCGGG